GCACCUUCAUCAGGAGGAAAAGAUUCAACAAGUGAAAUGAAAGAUCCUGGCAGGUAUUAGCAUGGAAGAAAUGAAAACGGUCCAAGUUGGAUUCUGCCUUCCACACAACUGCUGAGGGAAGUGGUCCUCACCCUGCUCAUCCCUGAAUGCAUCUGUGAGGAAUUGGCACUCCUUCUGUAUCCGCUCCUCCAGACUCCUCUUCCCCAGGCCAAGGUUUCAGAGGGUGGUCAAGGUGAACCUUCUCUGCUGCUUCUACAGGUGCCCAUUGGAGGACAGCAGCCCUCGCAGAAGCAUUUCACAGUGAGCAAAGUAAGAUGUUCUCAGCAAGGGGAAGAAACUGGAGGACAUCUGCCUUGAGAAACGAGGAGGAGCUGUGAAAGUAGCUGUGUUCAGAAUGAAUGUGAAGCUACAACAUUUCCCCCAACUUUCCUCCUCAUAUGUCCAAAAGAACGAUGCUUUCACUGUGUUUCAGGGAAGGACAGGAAGAUUUGAAAUGGAAAUCGGGCAAGCUGAGCCUGGGAGAGUGAUUGGAUAAAUAUUGAUUGUGUGCAGUCUUCUUCCUUGUUUCCUGAAUCAGUAUUCAGAAGUAGAUGUAAA
rnacentral:lncRNA from 1 species